rnacentral:rRNA from 1 species
UGUGUGGGUUGUUGCUGACCUCCUUGGGGGUAUGUGCACACCUGCCAUAGUUUCAUUCACCCUUCCACCUGUGCACUUUUUGUAGACUACGCUGUCAUUUUUUCAGGUUCGAUGAGCCUGGCAUGGGGAAUCGCCUUCUCUGGCCUUCCUUGGAUGGCUGUAGUCUAUGUUUUUAUCAACUCGUAUGUAAUGGAAUGUAUGACUGGGCUUUAUAGCCCAUAAAUCUUAUACAACUUUCAACAACGGAUCUCUUGGCUCUCGCAUCGAUGAAGAACGCAGCGAAAUGCGAUAAGUAAUGUGAAUUGCAGAAUUCAGUGAAUCAUCGAAUCUUUGAACGCACCUUGCGCUCCUUGGCAUUCCGAGGAGCAUGCCUGUUUGAGUGUCAUUAAAUCCUCAACUCCAUCUUCCAUGUGGAAAGAAUGGUCAGUUGGACUUUGGAAGCUGCUGGCUCGUUUUACAGUCAGCUCUUCUGAAAUACAUUAGCAGAGAACAAUGUGCAAGAUCUGCGCUUGGUCAUUGAUAGUUGUCUUACCAGGCUGACAGACCGAAACAUA